AUUGAACGCUGGCGGCAGGCCUAACACAUGCAAGUCGAACGAGUGGCGGACGGGUGAGUAAUGUCUGGGAAACUGCCUGAUGGAGGGGGAUAACUACUGGAAACGGUAGCUAAUACCGCAUACCAUUGGAUGUGCCCAUAUGGGAUUAGCAAGUAGGUGGGGUAAAGGCUCACCUAGGCGACGAUCCCUAGCUGGUCUGAGAGGAUGACCAGCUACCAAGAAACAGAAACACGGUCCAGACUCCUACGGGAGGCAGCGGUGGGGAAUAUUGCACAAUGGGCGCAAGCCUGAUGCAGCCAUGCCGCGUGUAUGAAGAAGGCCUUGGGGUUGUAAAGUACUUUCAGCGGGGAGGCGUUACCCGCAGAAGAAGCACCGGCUAACUCCGUGCCAGCCGCCGCGGUAAUAC
rnacentral:rRNA from 1 species